AUGAACGCUAGCUACAGGCUUAACACAUGCAAGUCGAGGGGCAGCAUGGUCUUAGCUUGCUAAGGCCGAUGGCGACCGGCGCACGGGUGAGUAACACGUAUCCAACCUGCCGUCUACUCUUGGACAGCCUUCUGAAAGGAAGAUUAAUACAAGAUGGCAUCAUGAGUCCACAUGUUCACAUGAUUAAAGGUAUUCCGGUAGACGAUGGGGAUGCGUUCCAUUAGAUAGUAGGCGGGGUAACGGCCCACCUAGUCUUCGAUGGAUAGGGGUUCUGAGAGGAAGGUCCCCCACAUUGGAACUGAGACACGGUCCAAACUCCUACGGGAGGCAGCAGUGAGGAAUAUUGGUCAAUGGGCGAGAGCCUGAACCAGCCAAGUAGCGUGAAGGAUGACUGCCCUAUGGGUUGUAAACUUCUUUUAUAAAGGAAUAAAGUCGGGUAUGGAUACCCGUUUGCAUGUACUUUAUGAAUAAGGAUCGGCUAACUCCGUGCCAGCAGCCGCGGUAAUACGGAGGAUCCGAGCGUUAUCCGGAUUUAUUGGGUUUAAAGGGAGCGUAGAUGGAUGUUUAAGUCAGUUGUGAAAGUUUGCGGCUCAACCGUAAAAUUGCAGUUGAUACUGGAUAUCUUGAGUGCAGUUGAGGCAGGCGGAAUUCGUGGUGUAGCGGUGAAAUGCUUAGAUAUCACGAAGAACUCCGAUUGCGAAGGCAGCCUGCUAAGCUGCAACUGACAUUGAGGCUCGAAAGUGUGGGUAUCAAACAGGAUUAGAUACCCUGGUAGUCCACACGGUAAACGAUGAAUACUCGCUGUUUGCGAUAUACGGCAAGCGGCCAAGCGAAAGCGUUAAGUAUUCCACCUGGGGAGUACGCCGGCAACGGUGAAACUCAAAGGAAUUGACGGGGGCCCGCACAAGCGGAGGAACAUGUGGUUUAAUUCGAUGAUACGCGAGGAACCUUACCCGGGCUUAAAUUGCAGAUGAAUUACGGUGAAAGCCGUAAGCCGCAAGGCAUCUGUGAAGGUGCUGCAUGGUUGUCGUCAGCUCGUGCCGUGAGGUGUCGGCUCAAGUGCCAUAACGAGCGCAACCCUUGUUGUCAGUUACUAACAGGUCAUGCUGAGGACUCUGACAAGACUGCCAUCGUAAGAUGUGAGGAAGGUGGGGAUGACGUCAAAUCAGCACGGCCCUUACGUCCGGGGCUACACACGUGUUACAAUGGGGGGUACAGAGGGCCGCUACCACGCGAGUGGAUGCCAAUCCCAAAAACCUCUCUCAGUUCGGACUGGAGUCUGCAACCCGACUCCACGAAGCUGGAUUCGCUAGUAAUCGCGCAUCAGCCACGGCGCGGUGAAUACGUUCCCGGGCCUUGUACACACCGCCCGUCAAGCCAUGGGAGCCGGGGGUACCUGAAGUGCGUAACCGCGAGGAGCGCCCUAGGGUAAAACUGGUGACUGGGGCU
rnacentral:rRNA from 1 species